CAGCAGCUCCUGUGAAUGAAUCGCCUUUGA
rnacentral:piRNA from 1 species